UUUAAGCAUGCAAGUCGAACGGGAACCUUGUCUUCGGACGAGGGGAUAGUGGCGAACGGGUGAGUAACACGUAGGUGAUCUGUCCUUGGAGUGGGGGAUAGCCCAUGGAAACAUGGGGUAAUACGGCAUGAGGUCUUGGAACUAUGGUUCUUAGAUGAAAGGAGCAAAUGUUCCGCUUUGGGAUGAGCCUGCGGUCCAUUAGCUAGUUGGUAGGGUAAAGGCCUACCAAGGCUACGAUGGAUAGCCGGCCUGAGAGGGUGAACGGUCACACUGGGACUGAGACACGGCCCAGACUCCUACGGGAGGCAGCAGCUAAGAAUCUUCCGCAAUGGGGGAAACCCUGACGGAGCGACGCCGCGUGGACGAUGAAGGCCUAGAGGUUGUAAAGUCCUUUUGCAGACGAAGAAUAAGGCAAGGAGUGGAACGCCUUGCUGAUGACGUUAGUCUUGCGAAUAAGCCCCGGCCAAUUACGUGCCAGCAGCCGCGGUAACACGUAUGGGGCGAGCGUUGUUCGGAAUUAUUGGGCGUAAAGGGCGCGUAGGCGGUGCUAUAAGCUUGGUGUGAAAUCCCCCGGCCUAACUGGGGAAUAGCGCUGAGAACUGUAGUGCUUGAGUUCUGGAGAGGAAGCUGGAAUUCCUGGUGUAGGGGUGAAAUCUGUAGAUAUCAGGAAGAACACCGGUGGCGAAGGCGGGCUUCUGGCCAGAAACUGACGCUGAGGCGCGAAAGCGUGGGGAGCGAACAGGAUUAGAUACCCUGGUAGUCCACGCUGUAAACGAUGUGCACUGGGUGUCGGGGCUUUAAUGGGUCUCGGUGCCGUAGUUAACGCGAUAAGUGCACCGCCUGGGGAGUAUGCUCGCAAGGGUGAAACUCAAAGGAAUUGACGGGGGCCCGCACAAGCGGUGGAGCAUGUGGUUUAAUUCGAUAUACGCGAGGAACCUUACCAGGGCUUGACAUGUACCUGACGGUCUGUGAGAGCAGGCUUUCUCUUCUGGGACGGGUACACAGGUGCUGCAUGGUUGUCGUCAGCUCGUGUCGUGAGAUGUUGGGUUAAGUCCCGCAACGAGCGCAACCCCUACUGUCUGUUGCCAGCAUUAAGUUGGGGACUCGGACGGAACUGCCGGUGACAAACCGGAGGAAGGUGGGGAUGACGUCAAAUCAUCAUGGCCCUUAUGUCCUGGGCUACACACGUGCUACAAUGGCAGGUACAGCGCGCAGGAGCGAAACGGUGACGUGGAGCCAAUCGCUAAAAGCCUGCCUCAGUUCGGAUUGGAGUCUGAAACUCGACUCCAUGAAGGUGGAAUCGCUAGUAAUCGCGCAUCAGCAUGGCGCGGUGAACACGUUCCCGGGCCUUGUACACACCGCCCGUCACACCACCCGAGUUGGGGGUACCCGAAGUCGCUUGUCUAACCCAUUUAUGGGGCGACGGCGCCGAAGGUAUGCCUGGUAAGGGGGGUGAAGUCGUAACAAGGUA
rnacentral:rRNA from 1 species